rnacentral:sRNA from 1 species
UAUUUGACCGUAUUUUUCCUUUUCACAUUUUUUCCUUUGAAAUUCUUUAGGACACAUAUUGAAGGAAAUGUGGAUAUUGGAGAUUUGACCUGGGAGCAGAAGGAAAAAGUAUUGCGAUUGCUCUUUGCAAAAAUGAAUGGCUGUCCUUCUAGGAAAUACAACCAGAGUUCUAGGCCUCCAGUUCCAGACUAUGUUGUUUCUGACAGUGGGGAAACAAAGGAAUUUGGGGAUGAAAGUAAGCUUCAAGAUAAAAUCUUCAUCACCCAGCAAAUUCCAAUAUCAGACUCUUCUGGUAAAGUGGUGCUACCCAGUAUUCCAAAAGAACCUCAAGAGUCUGACACAGUAAGGAGUCUGUAUCUAAUCAAACAAUGUAUAUUGUUGUCACCCUUCCCCAUGUCGCUUCUUGCUAAAUCACGGUUAUUUUCUCUACUAGUUGAGAGACUUCAGGGAUCAGUGGAAUGAGCAAUAAAUAGCAUUAGUAGAUUACAUAAAUUUUUAAAGCAAUAUCCGUACAAAUGCAUAUUAUACUAAUGCAAAUGCAAA